rnacentral:rRNA from 1 species
CCUACGGGGGGCUGCAGUGAGGAAUAUUGGUCAAUGGCCGUAACGCUGAACGAGCCAAGCCGCGUGAAGGAAGAAGGAUCUAUGGUUUGUAAACUUCUUUUAUAGGCGAAUACGGGUAUCCACGUGUGGAUAUUUGCAUGUACCCUAUGAAUAAGCAUCGGCUAACUCCGUGCCCGCAGCCGCGGUAAUACGGAGGAUGCGAGCGUUAUCCGGAUUUAUUGGGUUUAAAGGGUGCGUAGGUUGUUUUGUAAGUCAGCGAGGAAAGUUUGUCGCUCAACCAUAAACUUGCCGUUGAAACUGGAAGACUUGAGUGUGUUUGAGGUAGGCGGAAUGCGUGGUGUAGCGGUGAAAUGCAUAGAUAUCACGCAGAACUCCGAUUGCGAAGGCAGCUUACUAAGCCAUAACUGACACUGAAGCACGAAAGCGUGGGGAUCAAACAGGAUUAGAUACCCCAGUAGUC